rnacentral:rRNA from 1 species
AGGCUUAACACAUGCAAGUCGAGCGGGCGUAGCAAUACGUCAGCGGCAGACGGGUGAGUAACGCGUGGGAACGUACCUUUUGGUUCGGAACAACACAGGGAAACUUGUGCUAAUACCGGAUAAGCCCUUACGGGGAAAGAUUUAUCGCCGAAAGAUCGGCCCGCGUCUGAUUAGCUAGUUGGUAGGGUAACGGCCUACCAAGGCGACGAUCAGUAGCUGGUCUGAGAGGAUGAUCAGCCACAUUGGGACUGAGACACGGCCCAAACUCCUACGGGAGGCAGCAGUGGGGAAUAUUGGACAAUGGGGGCAACCCUGAUCCAGCCAUGCCGCGUGAGUGAUGAAGGCCCUAGGGUUGUAAAGCUCUUUUGUGCGGGAAGAUAAUGACGGUACCGCAAGAAUAAGCCCCGGCUAACUUCGUGCCA